AUUGAACGCUGGCGGCAGGCCUAACACAUGCCAGUCGAGCGGAUGAAGGGAGCUUGCUCCUGGAUUCAGCGGCGGACGGGUGAGUAAUGCCUAGGAAUCUGCCUGGUAGUGGGGGAUAACGUCCGGAAACGGGCGCUAAUACCGCAUACGUCCUGAGGGAGAAAGUGGGGGAUCUUCGGACCUCACGCUAUCAGAUGAGCCUAGGUCGGAUUAGCUAGUUGGUGGGGUAAAGGCCUACCAAGGCGACGAUCCGUAGCUGGUCUGAGAGGAUGAUCAGUCACACUGGAACUGAGACACGGUCCAGACUCCUACGGGAGGCAGCAGUGGGGAAUAUUGGACAAUGGGCGAAAGCCUGAUGCAGCCAUGCCGCGUGUGUGAAGAAGGUCUUCGGAUUGUAAAGCACUUUUAGUUGGGAGGAAGGGCAGUAAGUUAAUACCUUGCUGUUUUGACGUUACCAACAGAAUAAGCACCGGCUAACUUCGUG
rnacentral:rRNA from 1 species